UCAGAAAGAGUAAAGGAACUAAAAGCUUUUGAUGAAACAAAACUUGGUGUUAAAGGACUUGUUGAUGCAGGAAUUACAAAGAUCCCUCAAAUGUUCAUUCAUCCACCUGAUAACACCAAGAAGAUAUCAGAUUCAAAGGACACAACGAUUCCUCUGAUAGAUCUUGCUAAUAUUCACGACGAUCCUUCUGCGCGCAAAAGGGUCGUUGAGAGUGUUAGAUAUGCAUCAGAGACAUUUGGAUUUUUUCAGAUUAUAAAUCAUGGCAUUCCAGUGAGUACUAUGAAGGAAAUGAAAGAAGGGGUGUUAAAUUUUAAUGAGCAAGAUAAUGAGGUGAAGAAGAAAUUUUAUACUCGUGAACCAAAACCUUUCAUGUGUUAUAGUAAUAUUACUCUGUUUAACUCAACUGCAGCUACUUGGAAAGAUUCUUUCCUUUGCAAUAUGGCUCCUGUUCCUCCUAAACCAGAAGACCUGCCAGAAAUAUGCAGGUAAUUUUCUGAUCUUUUAGCUAAUGAAUCUUUCAUAUUUAAUUAAGGCUGCAAUGUUGGUGAUUUUUGUUGUACCCUCCUGUAAUUAUUUUUUUCUUUUCCCCUGCAAUUCAAUUUUUUUUUGGUUUUAGACCCUCACCGCACAUGUAAGCAUCUGACUAGACAUUUAGCUGACAUGACUUGCCUACAUGUCAAAUUAUUUUAUUUUUAAUAUUUUUUAAUGCUAGCCGGAUAUUCCCUCUUUCGGUAAAACAAAAAAAUAUUUUUUAUUUUGUAUUUCAGUUUUUUUUAAGGGAAAUUUAAUAUUUUUUUUGUUUUAAUAAAAAAGGGAAUAUCCAACUAGCAUUAAAAAAAUUUAAAAUAAAAUAAUUUGACAUGUAGACAAGCCAUAUCAUCUAAAUGUCUAGUUGGAUGCUUACAUGUGCGGUGAGGGUCUAAAAGCAAAAAAUCUUUGAAUUGCAGGGAGUAAAAGCAAAAGAAAAAUUUACAGGGGAAUAGAGCAAAAAUCACCAACAUUGCAGGGGGUAAAGAGCUAUUAACCCUUUAAUUAAUUAUGAUUUAGUUACUGUAAUUAUAACUGUUUGUGUUUUAUUCUAGUAAAUUCUUUUUUUUUUUUUACUUAAUUAUAGUUUUGAUCCCCUAUUUUUUUACCCAUUUACGAAAUUAGUCACCUUAUAAAAAUGAAUAAUUUAUGAAAUCUAAAAACAAUUUUUUUAAUGAGUUUUAUUAUAAUUAUGAUUAUUUAGUAUCAUUGGAUUGAAUGUUACAUUAUUUAAAAGAGUCAGGAUCCGUUGACACCAACUAGUUUGACACCAAAUGUUACACCUCUCAAUAACGUUUUAACCGAUAUAAAUUUUAUAAAAUCCACCGUUGGAUUGAAAGUUUACAUCAUAUAGAUCNNNNNNNNNNNNNNNNNNNNNNNNNNNNNNNNNNNNNNNNNNNNNNNNNNNNNNNNNNNNNNNNNNNNNNNNNNNNNNNNNNNNNNNNNNNNNNNNNNNNNNNNNNNNNNNNNNNNNNNNNNNNNNNNNNNNNNNNNNNNNNNNNNNNNNNNNNNNNNNNNNNNNNNNNNNNNNNNNNNNNNNNNNNNNNNNNNNNNNNNNNNNNNNNNNNNNNNNNNNNNNNNNNNNNNNNNNNNNNNNNNNNNNNNNNNNNNNNNNNNNNNNNNNNNNNNNAUUGGUUGUACUGAAGGCUUUUAUGCUUUUGGACAAUACUAUCCAAAAUGUCCUCAACCAGAAUUAACUUUGGGAGCUAUUAAACAUGCCGAUAUCGUUUUCUUGACAGUUCUUCUACAAGAUCAUGUAGGCGGUCUCCAAAUACUUCAUAAGGACAGAUGGAUUGAUAUAACUCCUAUACCCGAGGCUCUAAUUAUUAACAUCGGAGAUCUUCUGCAGGCAUGUUUUCGUAUUUCUUUUUCGACAAAUGAUAACUAUAUAUCCUUAUUCGGUCAUGCAUUUUGAAGACAUUGAUAUUUUGCAGCACUGCAAAGAUGUUGGAUCGGAAUAGAUCUAAGGCUACAUUCAGAUCAAAACACUCUGCAUCAGAUACAUUAGACAAUGUAGCUGAUGCAGAGUCUUUGAUCAGAUACAACAUACAUAUUUUAAAAGAACUUAUAAUGUGGCUAAUUUACAGUAGUUUUUUAUUUCAGCUUAUUACAAAUGAUAAAUUCAAGAGUGCUCAUCAUAGAGUAUUGUCAAAUGCUGAAAGUACAAGAGUCUCUAUGGCAAGCUUUUUUAGCACUAUUCAUCAUCCAUCUACAAGAACUUUUGGUCCCAUCAAGGAACUGUUAUCCGAAGAAAACCCUGCAAAAUAUAGAGAAACUUCAGUUACAGAAUUUUUAGUCCAUUACACAACAAAAUGCAAGGGUACUUCUCCUAUGUUGCAUUUCAGGAUUUANNNNNNNNNNNNNNNNNNNNNNNNNNNNNNNNNNNNNNNNNNNNNNNNNNNNNNNUUGGCUUAAUUUCUUGAGACAGAAUAAGGAAAAAUAUUUGUUUGGAAAAAAUAAAUUUGCGCAUUUGUUGGUCUAUUAAGGAUUUGUAAUAAAUUGUACAACUAUAAGUUCAAACAUUAUCAUGCUUCAGUUACUUCUGUUUUAUUGUUGAAUUGGCCAUCAAAAUAUUGGUUUUAAAAUAGGAGUAUAAAAAAAUUAAAAAUAAGGAGAUCAAAAUACUAUGCGCUCUUUUGUCAAAAAAUAAAUAAAUACUAUUCGCUCUGUCCCAAAAUAAACGACAUGUUUGACCAUAUUUAUGUUUGUCAAUGCACGUCUUUAAUCGUUAAUAUAUUUAGUUUUUUUUUUUUUACAAUAAUAUUUAGUUAUGUAUUAUUAAAAAUUAUAAAAGUUGUAUAUUUUAAAAAUACUCAUCGAGACAAAUCAAACAACAUCUCACAUGCUAAUAUUUGCAUGUAUAUAUUAGUAGAAAAAUAUUGUCAGAAGAGAUCAUAUAUGAAGAGUACACUAAGUAAAAAUCAGGUCAUUUAUUUUAGGACGAAAGGAUUUAAGCUAAGUCAAAAUAUUAUUAAAAUAGCCAACAACGUGCGAGACUGCGAGUAAAGUAAACCAUCCGUGUACGCAUGCUUUGAACAGAGUUUUUAAAACUUUAAUUAAUAAGAUGUCGGGACCACACAUGUUAAACUUUACUAGUACUCCCUCCUGACACAAAUAUUAAAAAAAAAACACUUCAAAUUUUAGACACAAAUAUAAUGUUAGAAAGUCUCACGUUGGCUAGAGAUAUGACAUAGAUAGCCUUUAUAAGUGUAGUGCAAACCUAGUCUUGUAAUUUUAGUUCCUCCUCUUUCACCUUCAAUUCUUUAUUCACAUUAUCAAGCUGAUUCUCACGUUUCUCAAUUUGAAUCUUCCAAUACAAAAUGUCUUUUCUCCAAACGUCGUCUUGUAUUUUUAGUUCCUUCUCUUUCCGCUUCAAUUCUUUAUUCACUUAUCAAGCUGAUUCUCACUUUUCUCAAUUUGAAUCUUCAACUUGGAAAUCUCUUCUUCCGAAAGCUCUCUUUGUUUAUGCAAUAUGAAUAAGUGGUGCAUGGUGCACCACUUGUCAAUAACCCUACGACGAAUACAAAUUUCAUAAAAUUCACCGUUGGAUUGAAAGUUUAUAUCAUAUAGAUCAUCCAUACAAUUUUUUAAAAAAAUUAAAAAUCAUUUGAUGUGUCAUUGAGACCCAUCAAAAUUAACGGUUUAUGAGUUUUUAUUAAAUACCGUUAAUUUUGAUGGGUCUCAAAUAUUCAAAUAAUCCACGCACUAAGUUCAAUAGUGUUGGGUGUAAAGGGUGUGUUAAGAAGUCGCACAUCGAAUGUGAGUUGAUUUGAAUAUGAGUUCAUAAGUAAGAGAUAAUAUCUUACAAGCCGGUUUUGUAGGGUUGAGUUAAGAUCAACUCCCAAUUAUAAGAGAAAUAUUAUUGGAUGCUUCGGAGUUUGAACUCUGAAUAUUUUAUUUCUCCAUACUUAUUCUACACUUAUAGUGUGUGUAAGUGUAAUCACUAUGAGAUGAGUAUUUCAAUUGGUUUUUUUUUUGACAAAAAUAUCUCAAUUGGUUAAGUUAGAUGAGUUAAGGUUUAAUGAGUUGAAGGUAUAACAUUGUAAUAUACUAACAAUUAACUAUUUGUGUUAAAAAAAAAUUAAGUUACUUGUUAGAAAUUGAUAUUUUUCUUAAGGCCAUAUCCUUUGUGUUCAAGCUCAUUCAUUGUAGGAUUCAUCCAUAACAUGUUGCAUGUGAUAUAGAUGGUUGGUUGCUUGUAUCACACUUGUAUAAUUGCAUAUAGUUCAUUUAUCACUUUUUAUGUUGAACGUAUUUCUCUUGACAUUUAUUUUCAUGCAUGUAAGUCAUUACGAUUACUCUUCUCCUAUAAAUAGGAGUUCAUAAUGUAGUUUGUAUCAUUCAAGAAUUAAUAAGACACCAUCUCAUAUCUCUUACCGGUAGACCACUAAUUUUUUACCGUCAGAUGCGAUCGAUGGUUUAUAGAGAACAUGUAUACUUGUGCCCACAGACAAUCCUGUCAUACACCUCCUUGGUAGUUUGGUAACGUGCUUCAACUUUUCUGACGGAAACUACACCAACGCAUAGCCACAACCACCGACCACCAUGACGGCGACCAGCACCCCCGCAGCACCAACGACAACUACCAUAACUCGUAAGUGGAUGACGGAAGAUUCGAAGCUAGUUCAAAGUAGAACUCCAAUCUCUUUGGCGUUAACACCAAUCAAUCAUGCAUACUACUACUUCAAUGCCUACUUUUUCAAGGAAGAGAAAAAGUUUCUCAUUAUCUAUUCAUCUCCAUCUUCAAAAAUUAGAAAUUAAAGAAAGAAAAUCUGAAUCUACCGAUUCAUCUCCAUCUUGUUCUUCAUCAGUUAAAAAGGUACCCUAAAUCUAAAUCUAUUUCAGACAUUAUCUUGUGAUCUUUUUUUGAAUUAGGGUUUGAUUUUAAAUAUAUUAAUCGAUUUUGAAUUAGGGUUUGGAUUAAAUCUAAAUCUAUGAUUUCGAUUCCGUAUAUUAUAGAUUUCAUGUUUAUGUGUCUUUUUAACUUAAAUUAUAAUGUAAUGAAGAAGGAUUUCUAAGCAUUUGUGGGAUUUAAGGUAGCUUAUGCAAUAAUGAGUACUAGGUGUUUGUUGAAAUGUUUCUGUGAAUUUAAGUGGGAAGUGUUAGCUCAUUUAUGCAUUUGUUGUUGAUAUCUCUUGUAAUCAUGUAUUUUCUGUAUUUUCGAAUGAUCCAAUGCUUACUUGGGGAUUUAAAGUCAUCUCUAAAUUGUGUAAUUUAAUGCUCAUCAACAAUCAACUGAUUAUGCCGUCAAAAAAAAAUAAAAAUCAACUGAUUGUUUUUUGUCUUUUUCAGGCGAAGAUACACAUGGCUUCAAAGGUAGGUUAAUUAGUGGAGUCUUGUUGGUUAAUUGUUAAUUAUGAGUACUAAUUAUAUUACUCCAUUGUAGAGAACUGCUUUGGAUUUGAACUGGCCACCAAUCUUGGAUGAAAAGCUGCUGCGGGUGUUCAUAAGAUGCCAAGAAGGAAGCAUCCCACCGCAACGAUGUGCACAACACAAUAUUUUGAAAUAAAGCUAGAGAUGAGUUUAACUACUUCGUCCGAGUCCAUUUUCCUUACUUGGGUGAGAUAGAUGUUGCAACUUUGGGGGACAGACUCAAGUUCUUAAGGCACCACUCUACGGUAUCUAAUAUAUCUAUCUAACUUUUCAUCACUGGCAUCUGAGGAAGUUUACACGUUUUUAACAUGAUAUUAUGUGUUUAAAUUGCAUUUUGAUGUGAUAAUUGUAUGUGUGGACCACUUAAAAAUGCUUACAAGUGAUUAUAGAGUCAGGUCCUUCCUUUAUUAAUAUAAAUGAUUUUGUUGUGGUGGGAGGUUUCGUUCAAAGUCUGCUUUAGAUGCACAUGCAAGAUUAGGUAUAAGUCAAAUGUAGCACAACCUAUGACCUAUAAAGCCAUAAUGCAAGAUUGCUUUACUUGGAUAAGAUGACAACUAAUCUAUUAAAUAUAAUUUAUGGAGUCCAUUAUAAUUAGCUGUUAAUUGAAUCUUGGCUGAUCAAGUUUGGUGCUUACUGCUUAUAUGAAUACCAUCCAUGCAGUCAGUUUGUUUUACAUAGCACCUUAUGAUGGAUGACUUUUGAUGAGUUAGGGGAGGUUAAAUUGCUUAGAAAUGGUUGUGAGUGGACUGUAUGCUUUUAGUUUCAGAAUGGAGUGACUAACAUGAUGCCCCUGUUUUCAAGUGUCAUAGAUACGUCAGUUUGGAAUGUUGAUGUUUUUGUAAUUGUAUUCUACCAGACUCACUCUAGCAGAGAAAUCACGGUAAUGGUCCACCAACUAUUUACGAUGCUAUCUAUGGUAAUCCCCCACAAAAUUUUCAAAACAAAGUGGUGGAAAUACAGAAUAUAGUAACAUAGAAUUUAGUUCUGGUAGUGGCCGAUUUUCAAGAGGAGAACAAGAACUCCAAUUUCUCCUAAAGAAUCAUUCCCCUUCAUUUCAUCCAAUCUAGCAAUGGUUUAUUAAUUAAAAAGAAAUGAAAUUUCCAUCUUCAUAAUUUAUACUGGAAUGAAAAGGAAAGCAAAAAUCUUCAGAUCUAAAAGAAAACCUCUCUUUGCAUAAAUUAAUUUCACACAUCCUUUCUCCCUCUAAAAGAAAAUUACUAUAUGUUUGUACAAGAUUAAUUCUUUAAAAACAUUUAUACAUUUGAGAGUGGGGGACUCAGAUUUUUAACUUAGAUGAGGUUUGGUUGUGUUUACUUCAAAUUUGAGGAAAAUUGGAAGUGAUUAGAACAUGAAUUAUAAGAGCUUCAAGAAAGAGUCAGGAUUGUCCGAUGGCAGCGGAGUUGGGAGACAACGCAGUGGUGAACUUUUCCCCGGCUGCAACGGUCGGUUUGCACGAUUGAUGAAAACAGAUGGGGAAGACAAAAAGGAGUUUGUUCAAAUAAAAUAAAAAGUUGUGAUCUAGUGUAGAAUACCGUAUGUGAUCUUGAUUGAUCUAAUGGUUCUCAUUGUUUUUAAGACUAGUCAACCGGUGUGGGACCUAACCCACUCCCUCACCCUAGACGUCGCCUUAAUAAGAUAACAUUUUUCUUUCUAGUUUUCUAGUUCCUUUUUCAACUCUACUCCACCACUCAAUCGUAGCCUCUGUUUUUUCUGAAUAAAAAAAUUGGAAAAUGUAUAUUAUUAAAAUAUAACUCUUCCUUAACUCGUGUCUUUUUCUUUAUUGCUUUGUAUGUACUUUCAUAAAAAUAUAUUGUUUGUUUUUGUUUUUGAAUUCAGAUCAUUUUUCAGCACAAAAUCCAUGGAAAAUUCAGAAAGAGUAAAAGAACUAAAAGCUUUUGAUGAAACAAAACUUGGUGUUAAAGGACUUGUUGAUGCUGGGAUUACAAAGAUCCCUCAAAUGUUCAUUCAUCCACAUGAUAACACCAAGAAGAUAUCAAAUUCAAGUGACACAACAAUUCCUCUGAUAGAUCUUGCAAAUAUUCACGACGAUCCAUCUGCACGCAGAAGGGUUGUCGAAAGUGUUAGAUAUGCAUCAGAGACAUUUGGAUUUUUUCAUAUUAUAA
rnacentral:lncRNA from 1 species